GUGCCAGCAGCCGCGGUAAUACCGGCAGCUCAAGUGAUGUCCCAUAUUAUUGGGCCUAAAGCGUCCGUAGCUGGCCGCGCAAGUCCGUCGGGAAAUCCACCUGCCCAACAGGUGGGCGUCCGGCGAAAACUGUGUGGCUUGGAACCGGAAGGCUCAGAGGGUACGUCCGGGGUAGGAACGAAAUCCCGUAAUCCCGGACGGACCACCGAUGGCGAAAGCACUCUGAGAAGACGGCUUCGACAGUGAGGGACGAAAGCGAGGGUCUCAAACCGGAUUAGAAACCCCAGUAGUCC
rnacentral:rRNA from 1 species